CAGGUGGGAAGCGCAUGCGCGCUGAGAGGAAGGCCUGCGGUCUUUUCAAUAAGACUCCAGAAGCCCAACUGAGUAGACAGGGGGAGGAGCAUGCGUAGUGGGCCUUUGAGCAGCGCAAACUAGAGACCGAAGCGGACGCACAAGUGCAGUGGGUGUUGAAAUGGUCUGACGGUUAAGUUUCCCGCAAGGCGUAACCCCCGGCCACAGCGUGCAGCUGACAUGCACAAGCUCUGAGGCGGAAGAGUCACUCACUCCUUACUCCGCCGAGCUUGGGGUCCACCUCUGCAGACCGGAAGAAAGCUCUGGUCCGAGGUCACCCGGGGCCAACACCAUGCAUUCGCCGCCGCAGGUCGCAGCUGAUGAUGUCUUUGAUCACCGCACUCCAGACUCACCUGAAAUUCCGGCCCUGGCCCCUCGUACCCUCCCCCUCUGCCGCCUCCUUAGUGAAUCUCUGCGGGUCCCUGCCUCGUUCCCCCUCGAAUCUCCUCCGCCUCCCCUUCCAGCCCCUCCGCUUGGCCUCCUUUUACCCCCAUUUGACGCCUCUACCUGCCACCAGGGCCUGGAAGGGUUUCACAGCCCUGCAUGGAAUCCAGGAGUUGGAUAACGGCGAAACCGAAACCAGACUUGCCAAAAAUGCUAUUUGUUGUCAUAGAAAC